rnacentral:rRNA from 1 species
UACGGGGGGGGCAAGCGUUGUUCGGAAUUACUGGGCGUAAAGGGCUCGUAGGCGGCCAACUAAGUCGGAUGUGAAAGCCCCGGGCUUAACCUGGGAACUGCGUUUGAAACUGGGAGACUUGAGUGUGGCAGAGGGGGGUGGAAUUCCACGUGUAGCAGUGAAAUGCGUAGAUAUGUGGAGGAACACCGAUGGCGAAGGCAGCCCCCUGGGUUAACACUGACGCUCAUGCACGAAAGCGUGGGGAGCAAACAGG